ACAGAAUUUUGGAUACUUAGAUUUACAAAAUUAGCUACUCAGAUUAAGACUUCUGCCACGCUUAUACACUGAGAAAAUUUAGAUACAUAUUGUAUUAUUCUAAAUAUCGCUCCCGUUCACCUGGUCAGCAGCUGAUCAGAGAUGAGAUCUGUCAACCGUCCGAUUCGGACGGUAAGUGAGCAAAUCAUUGAACGGGACUGUAUUCUAACUGUUCAUUGAGGCCGGAAAGGACGGUGCUGUCCUCAUUUUAUCUUUUUUUGCGGCUCUGCCAUUCACUCUCGCUUCCUCCCAAGUCCUUGGCUGCUCAGUCACACAGCGACGGCCAAUUCAUCUAUCCUUGGGUUUUUCAGCUAUACUUGAACCAUUGAAUCAACUUUUGUCGUCAGAGGUGAUCAACUUGGUAAUUCUCUUGCCUUUUCAAUUCGUAUGUGAACUGAUUAUUUAGUUGUAACACGUUUUAUCAAAAACAUUGAUCGAGCUUAUAGAAAUGUUCAUAUUCAAGAACACCUCUUUGGUCAAAAUUGUAGACAUGUUCACAUUGGUCGUGUUACCUGUUUUGAAACAUUGUCUCCAACAUUCUUUUUGUUAUGGUCUUCAAUUAAUUGAAUUACUUAGUGAAUCCGUUAUAGAGUCUAUAGGAAUGUAAAUCUGGUCUCAUUAUUUAACCAACAAUGUUUAAACAUUAAACAUUGGAGAUCAGGUCUCAUAGAGUCUGUAAUUAUUCAUGAUCAAUCAUUCCAUUUAUGCUUUGAUUUGUUUUUUUUUUUUUUACACUAUAAAUUCAUAUAAGCUCUCAUUAUAGACAUAGAAGAAUCAAUAGGCUAUUUUGCAUACCUCUUUGCAAUCAUCACUUAGCUCUUUGUAUCAAACUUCUAUUCGUUGUUUAGCAUCUGCUCUUCCCUUUUAAUCUUGGUCACAAACAAUUUGGGGCCAGCAAGAGUAAUUCCUUUUGAAUUUUUUCCCCCAGUUUUUUGUGAUUCACUGAAGCUUUAGAUAGUUGGUUUUUGUGGAUUUGUGGUUUAAUCACAGAUUCUUUUCAGCUGUUCAAAUUUGCGGUUUAUCGAUUUCCUAAGUUUUAGGCUUUCUUCUUUAGCAUUGUUUUGAUCGUUCAUUUGUCAAGGAGAGUUUCAAAUUGGAUUGGGGUUUGCAGAAGCCUGAAGGUUUCACCGAUUGCUUUUGAGCUUGAACCAGGUAACUAAUAGUUUGGAUCAACUCCAACUACAAUUGGAGCAACCACUUUUUUACACCUACUCCAGUUACGCUGGCUUAGAACUAAACCUUUUGUAAAGCUACAACUGAAGCUGCUAAACCUGUUGUACAACUACCAUUUCUGAACCAACCUCAGUAGCAACUUUGUUAACCUUUUUCUAACACACUUUCGUCACGUUAACCUUUUUGUAUAAAAAAUCUUUCACUCUUUCAAUAGAAUGCAAUAAUUUUCCUUUUGUA